CCUACGGGUGGCAGCAGUGGGGAAUAUUGCACAAUGGGGGAAACCCUGAUGCAGCGACGCCGCGUGAGUGAAGAAGUAAUUCGUUAUGUAACGCUCUAUCAGCAGGGAAGAAAGUGACGGUACCUGAGUAAGAAGCCACGGCUAACUACGUGCCAGCAGCCGCGGUAAUACGUAGGGGGCAAGCGUUAUCCGGAUUUACUGGGGGAAACGGGAACGUGGACGGCAGUUCAAGUCUGGCGUGAAAGGCGGGGGCGCAACCCUCGGACUGCUCUGGAAACUGUACGGCUGGAGGUCAGGAGAGGGAAGUAGAAUUCCAAGUGUAGCGGUGAAAUGCGUAGAGAUUAGGAGGAACACUAGUGGCGAAGGCGGCCUACUGGACAAUAACUGACGUUGAGGCUCGAAAGCGUGGGGAGCAAACAGGAUUAGAUACCCCAGUAGUC
rnacentral:rRNA from 1 species